rnacentral:tRNA from 1 species
GUUUAAAUAGUUUAGUAAAAAUUCAGAUUUGUGGAGUCUGAGAGGCAAUUAUAAUUGCUUUAAACA